CAGAAGGUUUUGGAAACUUUAAUCCGAAAACAGACACUGCUAAAUUCAACCUUGUGGAUCCACCUCUCAGAAACACAGUUAGUUUACCUGUUAAAGGGUGGGCAGUUAUUAGAUUUGUUGCUGAUAAUCCAGGUAAAGAAUAGAUUAAAAAAAAAAAAAAAAAAAAAAAANNNNNNGGAAAAAAAAAAAAAAAAAAAAAAAAAAAAAAAAAAAAAGUUAGAUUUUAACAAAGUUUGUUGUUCAAUUUGACAACUUCUUGUUUAUUUUUUCAGGUGCUUGGAUUAUGCAUUGUCACUUAGAUGUUCACAUUGGGUGGGGUUUGGCGAUGGUGUUUCUUGUGGACAAUGGAAUUGGACCAAUGCAGACAUUGGAGAAACCACCACCGGAUUUACCUGUGUGUUGAUAAUAUUGGCAUCAAAUUAGUAAACAACAAUAGCUAGCAUUCUUGUUGUCUAAAAUUAUGAGUGUUACUUAAAUGUCUUUCCCCCCACAUUGGGGAUAUUCCUAUUUUUCUAUUCUUGUUUUUGUUACCCUUUUUUUUCUCUGGUUUUUGUCAUGGAUAGCACUAUAGCAGACUGCACCAACUAAAGAUGGUGGCAUAUUUGGCAGAUGGAAUGGAUAUAUUGUACUUUAUAAUCAGAAGUUGAACACAAAGAUUUGUUUCCAAAGUAAUGACAAGAUCAUGAUUGUAUUAGCAUUCUAUUCUGUUUUGAUUUCACCAGCUUUAUCUCUGUCAAAGGUUUUAUAAUUUAUACAUACAUUAUUAUUUGUUGUCCAUGGUUGUGUUAUACUGGAACUAAAAGAAAUGUUUUGCUAAAGCAAUAUCUGUUUUUCAAAUGAUUAAAUAGCAACAAAGGUUAAAAGUUAAAACCUCACCCAUCAAAAGCACAAAAGUAACAUACAUGUGAAAAGAUGUUUAUCAACAUUGAUGACCUAAUAAAUCAAUCUUAAGACAGUGAAAGCACGAAACAACUGGAAUACUUCUUGCAAAAAAACAGGCCACUUCUAAAUGAAGUUUUUGUACUUCAACAGAGAAACAGAGUUGGAUAUAUAUAUUGAAAAGAGAGUAGUUAAUUAGUACCUUAAAGAUCACUCAAGUCCCAUGCUUUAAGGGCUAUGAAUUAUGAUAUACAACCAGUGAUGGUCUUAGAAACUUGUACCAAAUCUACAAUGCAUACAUGCUGCUGAUACUCGAACAAUGAGAGAGAACUAUAUGUGCCAUGUAGCUCAAUUGUACCACAUUCAACUUAAGAGAAACUCUGAGGUAACUUUGAUGCACAUAAGAGGCCUAGCUGAGAUUUUAUGAUCCAGAAAUAAUGAAUUCUCAUUCAAUUGUGAUGAUCUCUUGAAUCACACAAUGAGAGCUAUAUACACAUAUGUAGUACAACUGAAGUACACCAACAACUAAUCAUCUACCUAUGUAGUACUUAUCGGCUAAAAGCACAAACCAACCAAAAAAUUAACUGGUAUAGAAGGUUUAUAACCAAGCAAAUCCACCAAACUAGCAAUUAGACAAUCAAGAAGAUCAAACAGAUAAGUUGGACUAGGUCAAUAGGUCAUGGUCUCCAAUUAUGCAACAUAAGGCAUUAGGAAUAGUAAGGGGCUCGACUAAAAGCUUUGGGCUCAACUUGGCAAUAUGAGUCCCCGACAUCUAGGGUUUGUAAUCGUUCCAUACAUUGUGGAUAGUAUUAAUGUUGAAUCGUAAUACUGAAUACGAACUGUUUAAAUUAACUCUGUAUUCGGCGUUUUAAAAAUAUUAGCUUAGGUGUGGUCGAUUAAGAACUACAUUGACCUUUUACUAAAGUUUUACUCAAUGGUAGAUUUGACGUAAUGGAAGUUUCAAUCACUGAGACAACUAUCUCUGUAAGCACUUCUCUGGUUUGGAGAUUUAAAUUCUCCUUAUGUUAACCACAAUGUCGUUCAUUUGUUUACUAAAAGUCUAAGACAAUGCGUAUGAAACCAAGAAGAUGAGAGAUUACACGCAUACCAUUACAACGUAAGAAUGAAUGAUGAUUCGAGACGUUAUGUAGUCGAAUUUGUGUUUGUAAAGGUGUUCUGUAUAACUGAGCAUGGUUGUUGCCGGUAAAAGGCACCGUGAUGACAGGUGCAAGAAAGGUUGAG
rnacentral:lncRNA from 1 species